rnacentral:rRNA from 1 species
AAAGCGAAUAGUGAAACCUGGUGGCUCAACCAUUCAGACUAUUAUCCAAACUGCUAAGCUCGAGAAUGGUAGAGGUAGCUGGAAUUUCUAGUGUAGGAGUGAAAUCCGUAGAUAUUAGAAGGAACACCAAUGGCGUAGGCAGGUUACUGGGCUGUUUCUGACACUGAGGCACGAAAGCGUGGGGAGCGAACCGGAUUAGAUACCCGGGUAGUCCACGCCGUAAACGAUGGAUACUA